rnacentral:rRNA from 1 species
CGUUGCGAAAGCGGCGCUAAUACCGAAUGAAGUCCUUUAUGCUUCGGCAUUUUGGAUGAAAGGUGACCUCUCUAUAGAAGUUACUGUUUGAGGAUGAGCCCGCGUACCAUUAGCUUGUUGGUAGGGUAACGGCCUACCAAGGCUGCGAUGGUUAGCUGGUCUGAGAGGAUGAUCAGCCACACUGGAACUGGAACACGGUCCAGACUCCUACGGGAGGCAGCAGUGAGGAAUUUUGCGCAAUGGGGGCAACCCUGACGCAGCAACGCCGCGUGAGUGAUGAAGGCUUUCGGGUCGUAAAGCUCUGUCAAGAGGGAAGAAAUUGCGGCAGGUGAAUAUCCUGUCGUAUUGACGGUACCUCUGAAGGAAGCGCCGGCUAACUCCGUGCCAGCAGCCGCGGUAAUACGGGGGGCGCAAGCGUUAUUCGGAAUUAUUGGGCGUAAAGGGCGCGUAGGCGGUCUGUUAAGUCAGAUGUGAAAGCCCCGGGGCUUAACCUCGGAAGCGCAUUUGAUACUGGCAGACUUGAGUAUGGGAGAGGGAAGUGGAAUUCCUGGUGUAGAGCUGAAAUUUGUAGAUAUCAGGGGGAACACCGGUGCCGAAGGCGACUUCCUGGACCAAUACGGACGCUGAGGCGCGAAGGCAUGGGGAGCAAACAGGAUUAGAUACCCUGGUAGUCCACGCAGUAAACGGUGAUCACUAGGUGUAGCGGGUAUUGACCCCUGCUGUGCCGGAGUUAACGCAUUAAGUGAUCCGCCUGGGGAGUACGGCCGCAAGGUUAAAACUCAAAGGAAUUGACGGGGGCCCGCACAAGCGGUGGAGCAUGUGGUUUAAUUCGACGCAACGCGAAGAACCUUACCUGGGUUUGACAUCCCGGGAAUCCGGAUGAAAUUUCGGAGUGCCCUUCGGGGAGCCUGGAGACAGGUGCUGCAUGGCUGUCGUCAGCUCGUGUCGUGAGAUGUUGGGUUAAGUCCCGCAACGAGCGCAACCCCUAUCUUUAGUUACCAGCGAUUCGGUCGGGAACUCUAAAGAUACUGCCCCGGUUAACGGGGAGCAAGGUGGGGAUGACGUCAAGUCCUCAUGGCCUUUAUGCCCAGGGCUACACACGUGCUACAAUGGGCGGCACAAAGGGAAGCGAUCUCGCGAGGGUGAGCCAAUCCCAAAAAGCCGUUCUUAAGUUCGGAUUGGAGUCUGCAACUCGACUCCAUGAAGUUGGAAUCGCUAGUAAUCGCGGAUCAGCACGCCGCGCUGAAUACGUUCCCGGGCAUUGUACACACCGCCCGUCACACCAUGAGAGUUGGUUGUACCAGAAGUCGUUGGACCAACCCGCAAGGGGGGCAGGCGCAUAAGGUAU